rnacentral:lncRNA from 1 species
CUUUUUAUAGCGGAUGGGCUGCCAGAGCUGACAAACAAAGCUUAGGCAAAUGCUGGAUCUCACAACCUGUGUGGUCCAGCUGUGGGCUGAACAAAGAGUGGCAUAUGUGAUGGGAGAGCUUUGAAUAGAGCCCGAGAUUGCAUGUUUCUGUGUGCAGGAAAAUGGUUUACUCAGUGAAUACUCUUUCUUUUCCAGCAUCCUUUCCUACUUGGAGCUUAGGGCCGAAACCAUGAGGCGAUUUCUCUACUUUGCUGGCUGUGUUUCCUGAGCAAGUGACAAGAUGGAGCUGAUUAAAAGAAGACAAGGGAAGUCUCAGUGCCAGACCACUUCAGAAAUGAAGCAUUCCAGAAAGGCAUGUACGAACUCCUGUCAGGAACAGGAAUGAUUUCAUGGCCCCUUUUGCAUAUUAAUGAACUACAAGUAACCUCAGUUUAGCGGUGCAGAUGCAACAUUUCAGGAGCGGUGCCAGAAUUCAGCGAUAAAUGCCAGCUCCAGGGGAAAUACAUUUCAUGAUAGAAUUAGGAGAGCAGCCAUCUGAGACGUCCACAGAAAUCGCCACCCCCCUCGAAAUGGAAGGCGGUGUCUGGGGAGCAGGGCACUGGUGGCCGUGGAUGUGGGGUAUCGGGUCAUUUUUCUAAAACCGGUUCCCAGGCAUGCUCUCAAUCUUCUACUCUUCUGACACUGCAUAUUUCCUCAAGCAACAAAAUCAUUUGCCAAAAGGUCAAGCUUAGGUGAAUCGAUCAAUUUGGCUGCCUAUUUUUCUGGUGUAACUUAAAAAAAAUGUUUAAUCAUAUAGUCCUCCUUGUUUUAGAAGCAAAAUACCUCUUUUUGCUUCUUCCCCACCCUGCUCCCCCAACUGCCUGUCAGGCAUUUUGUUUCCCCCAACUUCUUGCAACCUGUGGUUGUAUUUUCUGGCAGAAGGCAAGCUCUCAGCAGUCCUCUUUUCUUCCAGUGCUCCUCCAGAAUUUGCUUGAUUCUCGCCCCCUUGCUCGCUCAUUCCCCUUUGCCCCAUACGCGUAGUGCAACCGUCACUGUCGUCUGUGCUCACCAUCUGUUUCUAAAAUUCCUAUGAUACAGAAAUCACAUGACAGUUUGAGGUGCAGCCAUUUCAAUGUUGCAAGCUUUCGCUUGGCAGGGUUUGGAAGCGAUGGCUGUGUGGUUUUGCUGCAUGGGGUGACCACCUCACGUGGUGUGACAGCAAGCCAUCUUGAAGGACCUUCGAAAGCUGCUGCCGACAGGAUCAGAUGUUUCUGUGAGACUGAGAAUGGAGAAUAAAGCCACAGGCUUUAUUUUCAGCUGAGACCCAGGCUAGAUUGCAGCCAAGGAGAAGAGAAAACACGUACAGAGCAAUGCUCUGCACUGCAUUGUAAAAAAA